UCAGAUUGAACGCUGGCGGCAUGCUUUACACAUGCAAGUCGAACGGCAGCACGGGAGCAAUCCUGGUGGCGAGUGGCGAACGGGUGAGUAAUGCAUCGGAACGUGCCCAGUCGUGGGGGAUAACGCAGCGAAAGCUGCGCUAAUACCGCAUACGAUCUAUGGAUGAAAGCGGGGGACCGUAAGGCCUCGCGCGAUUGGAGCGGCCGAUGUCAGAUUAGGUAGUUGGUGGGGUAAAGGCUCACCAAGCCAACGAUCUGUAGCUGGUCUGAGAGGACGACCAGCCACACUGGGACUGAGACACGGCCCAGACUCCUACGGGAGGCAGCAGUGGGGAAUUUUGGACAAUGGGCGCAAGCCUGAUCCAGCAAUGCCGCGUGCAGGAAGAAGGCCUUCGGGUUGUAAACUGCUUUUGUACGGAACGAAACGGUCUGGGUUAAUACCCUGGGCUAAUGAC
rnacentral:rRNA from 1 species